rnacentral:lncRNA from 1 species
UGCUCGAGAUCUGCAGUGGCUGCCGGGUGCGGAGCGCCGGCCGGGGGUGGGCUCUCCAGGGCUGCUAGGCCCCUGCCCUCACCUGCGGCCGCCCGGCCCCGCCCUAGUCAAUGGAUCAUGAAGAUGGAGGUGGUGGCUCAUGCCUGUUAAUCCCCACACUAUGAGAGGCUGAGGCAGGAGGAUCACUUGGGGCCAGUAGUUUGAGACCAGCCUGGGCAACAUGGCAAGACUCCAUCUCUACAAAAAAAUGCAAAAAGAAAUCAGUGGACCAUGAUGAGCUUAUCAUGGAACAUAAGAAAAAUAAAACAGAUGUCAGCCUGUGUAUGAAGAAUUCAUCCACAAGAUUUGCUCACUCUUCAAUUCUUUCCCGAGCAAAACCAAGAAUCUUCUUGGGCUAAGCCCCAAUUUGGGGUUCACCUGCCUUGCAGCAACAUGGCACCAAACAUGCGGCAGAAGAGAGAAAACGACAGCAUGAGAGACGGAGAAAGAAAUGGCCAGUUGGCAAGGUGGUAAUGAGAGACAGCAGUUGGCAAGACAGUGAGAGACAGCAAGAGAUGGUGGUACAGCCAAGCAGACAGGCAAGUAAGUGGCCAUACUGCUACUGCCUCAUGUAGGAUCCGGCAGGCUGGUGGGUUAUCAGUCCUCACGUGGGACCCUCCCACCAUGGCAGCUGAGCACAUCCAAGCUGGGGGAUCCUGAAGAGACCUUCACCUGGGUGCCACGUGGAAGAUUGGCCAGCACCAUUUUGACUCCUGUGGAUGGUUCCAGGUAAAGACAAUCCUUGCACAAGGCUUCCAACUCGACCCGCCUACUGACCUGGAGAAUGAAAGUGUCCUGCCUCGGGGCCCCUCAGAUCAGCACCCAAACUGCACCUGGUCACCUGUCUACAUUCAGAUUUAGAUGAAAGCCACACCAUGGAGGCAGCCAGAGGCCCAUGGGAGAUGUCUGGAUUCGCAGAGGAAUAGCUCCAUGUGAUGCAAACCUUGACUAAUGGGAACAGGAAAAGGGAGGAAACCAGGAAGAUAAAUCUCCCUCCCUUCUCAUUGCUCCUUGCAACCCUUCCCACUUGAAGCAUGACCACAUUUAAUGAACAACCUGCUGUGUCUCUUGGAAGCUUGCUGCAAGGCAGCAAUCAGCACAAUAACAUUGUAUUGUAUCUUCCUCUGCUUCACUUCUCUUCCUCCCUCACCCUCACUGCCCUGAGCUGGCACAUCCCAAAGAAAGCAUUACCACAUUAAUCCUUGUCUCAGACUCUGCUUUCAAGAGGAUCUAGAAUCUUGCUCUGUUGCCCUGGCUAGAGUGCAGUGAUGUAAUAAUAGCUCACUGAAACCUCGAACUCCUGGGCU